GCCUGGCUCCCGCCUCCCGCGCGGCUACCCCUUUGCUGGUGAGAUAGCGUAGGACUUCCUGAUCGCAGCGGCCCGUCUCACCGCGAGUCUCAACUGUCUCUUCCCCAGUCCCCAGCCUUUCAUCAAUCCCGAUAUUAGAGGAUUCCCAACGUUUCACCUGUCUUCUGGACAGCCUUUGGAGCUGCCACUGGCGACGCACAGCCACGCGGCCAAAGUGGAACCCAGCAUCCCUCAAACAAGUGCCUUCUUCCAGGAUUCUCAGUUUCUAACGGGAUACCACCAUCCACUCUGGUGUGCCCACACCAGAUAGUUGAGAAGGAGACCUCCAGAUGGCUGGGAUGCUUCCGAAGAGCCCACCUGAGCCCAGGUGACCUUGGCAUCUCUCCCUAAAAUCCAUCUAUUUACGGCACAUUCCCUGACACCUGUGCCUUUCGGUUCAGUUAGAAGCACUAGACACAGAGGGAACCAAACACAGUUCAGGCCUUUCCCCUUGUAUCCUGAGGAUGGGAGGAGUUAGCCCCAGGCCUGCCCUAUUAAGGCAGGGCCCAUCCCACCCCUCCUCACCUGGUAUCUGUCUGAGUGGUGCAGGUCAUCGGUGGCAGACGAGUGUGGUGAUGCUGUCGGAGACUCUCCUUCCCUCUUGAUGGAAGCAGACAACAAGAGGGACUGGAAGAAGAAAAAGGACACGUGGCCUCAGGCUGAAUGAGACCUACAGUUAGAAGCCCUGAGAGGCCUCAGCAUUACACCUGGGGCAAGCGGAAUAAAAAAAGGUCACUGGCGCUUUUUAAACAUGGACCAAAAAGCAGUAAAAUGUGUUUUGAAAAAAAAAUCCCGACAUUAAAUCAUGACUUUUUGCCUGGCUCUUCGCCUCAUUAAAAGUGGCCUUUUGGAAGGUAAAAUUAUCAUUGUAAGUGAUAAGAUCUUUAAGAAAAUAAUUCACGGCUUCUUCACCCUUUAAUAUGAUAGCCGCCACCGGCUAAUUUUUUUCUUAAUGGCAACGAGGCCAUCAAUCUUGUCUGAGGCCCCCUCGCCCUCUCCUCCUCCUCCCUCCCUCCUCCCUGUCCUCUCAGUCUCUUGCUUGAACCUUCUACCUCGUGCCUCUUCUACCCAUGACCUGCUUCCCUAAAGCCCCAUUCCAGGCUGAGGACAGACCCUGAGACAGGCAGCUUUGGGGGCGUGAGCCUAUAUCUAGAAGUGGGUGAGCGGUGGCCCUUGCCUCUAAGUCUGAUUAUCAAUGAGCCCGCGUUGGUGGUUGCAGGAAUCUGCACAUAUUUAAGACUUCCUGUAUGAGUAUUCUGACGGGGCCAGGUGGGUGUGCAUCUGUGUAUGUGGGGAACCAGGUGUGGACGUGGAUCAUGUCUGUGUUUGUGCUUUGAACACAGGCCUCACUGUGGUCCAGUCCCCAGCCUGCCGGCCAUGCUCAGGUGUCAGGGGUCAGUGGUUGUGGCUGACCUGGCAGCACGUCCGUGACCUGCCUGCCUUAACCAUAGCCACUGGCGACUGCAGCCUGGGCCAAGCUCUGCCGGUGUGGCCCCCCACUUCUCCCCCAACGCCUUUUCUCUUUAGGGCUGGGAGGGCUUUGCUUCCUUGGCAAGGGCCUGCAUCAGUCCAGGGCUGGGCUAGGUUCCCUGCCCCUCCUCUGUCCAGCUUGCUGUGUUGAGUGAUUUCCUGAAUGAAAAUGCGGAGUCCACUCCCACCUUUUUGAAGGGCCUGCAGGGGAGACAGGCCAACCCCCUGGAAGUAAGAUUGUCACUCUGGCUCCUUUUCCCAAAACUGCUCUCUCAGAGGUCACCAGUGCUUUUAAGACUUCUAAAUACAAUGGCCUCCUUCUCUAGCCCUUUUCUGCUUGACUGCUGACCAGCCCAGACAUUUUGGAGUUUUCUUCUCUUAGGAUCCUGGGACACCAUGCUCUCCUGUGCCCCUCCUCACUCGUCACUGUUCCUCUUCUGCUCCUUCCCUGGCUCUGGGACCUUCUCUUGACCCCCAGCACAGGAGUCCCAGACUCUCUUCUUGGCUUCUGCUCUGAUCUCUCCACACACACUCCCUUACUGAUUUCAUCCAUUCUGGGGAAUUCCCUGGUGGUCCAGUGGUUAGGACUCCGCACUUUUACUGCCAAGGGUUCGACCAAUCCCUUGUUGGGGAGCUAAGAUCCUGCAAGCCAUGCGGCGCAGCGAAAAAAAAAAAAUGUAUCCAUUCAGCACUCAUUCCUCACUCCCUGUAGAAAGGGCUGAGGAUUUCUGCUUUUACAAGUCAUUGUGAGAACUUAUAAGGCAGGAUGCCACCUUACUGAGGGGUGGGGGAGAGGACACUCAGUGAGUGAGUGUUUAGUCCUCCAACCCCAGGUCCCCACUCCCUCAAAACAUCAUCACCUUUGGGGAUGCAGUACCAUCUACCUGUGUGGCCACCUAUGGGAGUUCUUGGUACAAGUCAUGUCAUCCUGCUGAGGCCUCUGGCCCUUCCUUUGAGCCACUUGUCCUUAACUCUUCCUUUCUCCAUCUGAUGCUUUCAAGCUUCCCUUCCAUAGUGUCUGUUCAGAGGGUCAGAUUGUCUCCCCAAAAGAGCCCAGCAUCCUCUCUGGCUCCCUGUUGCCCUCAGGACAAAGCACAUGCACACACCCCAUGGUCUGGCUUCUAAGGCCCUGCACCACCUGUCUUGACCUGCACUUCUAUAUUUUUCUUUACCUGCUACAGCUCACCUUCCUCCUUUGAGUCUCCCCAGACUUAGUGUCUGGGUCCCCCACACCCCCAGGUCAUUCUUGGCUUUGACCCCAUCCUGACUAGAAGAGAAAGUCAGGUGAGCAUACUGUUACUCACAUGUAUACACAUGUACUCAAGUGCACAGGGCAGCCCGAGGCCUCAGGCUGACGAUCAAACCCUGAAAACAGCUGGGGAUCCAAGAAGAGCUCCUUUUUCUCAAGAACCAGUUCUGAGUGGGCUUAGGUUAGGAUGGGCUGGAGGAAAACACAAUUGUCCACCUACCUUGGGCGUGCCUGGAGCCAUGGCAUCCUUCAGAAGGGAAUUCUUACUGCCAAGAAAGAAGAGAACAGGGUGACCGUUCCACUUGCUGCCCAGGGCAUGUAAGAGUAGAAUAGGAAGAAGAUCCCAAGGAGAGAAGACAUAGCCAGCCUAGCCCAGCCCCCCUCAGCCAAGCUCCACCCAGCCCACUCAGCCUCCAUCAGGGGCCAGGGGCCAGAGUGGGCUCCUGGGCAGGGGUACUGACACUAGGCAUGGUAGGCUGUCUCGUGGAUCUGAGGAAAGGGGCUUUACCUGACUGCUCCUAUCAGCCCUGAGGAUUCUUCCUGUCCUGCCCCCUUCCUUCCAACCCAGUCCUCAGCCUGCUCUUAGCUCCUAUGGGAUUGGGGUGAUAGAACUGACAUGGCUCUUGUCAAUUCUCCCUCCAACAUGCUGCAAACUGCGUUAGGCCAGGAAUGAUCUCCCCCUGAUUCAAUUUGUCAGCCCCAGGCCCUCCGGCAUCAGGCGCGGCAGUCAACAAGUGCUGAUGUCGCCGUUGUGCCAGCCCCGUUCCUGGACUUAACGGGUGCAGAACUGAGGCAUCUACUGUAUGACACUGUUCUCGCCAGACCCCUGGACUGAAGUCUGAGUGUUAUCCGAGCAAGAUCAGGGUGAAACAGAAGAGGAAAGAAUGAACAAUUAUUGUGUACCCACCACACAUGACAGGCAUGGGCUAGGAACUUUAGAUGUGUCAUCUCUUUAAAUCUUCACAAAAACUUUACAAAGUUGACUAGCAGGCUACGUGACACCUCUCUGCUCACACAGCCCAUGCAGGGUUUGGGAUUUGAGUUCAUGUCUGACGGAGUCCAAAGUGCUGCUUUUCGGUUGGCCACACAGCCUCCUAAAGACACUCAGGGGUUAGGAUGGAGGGCUGAGCUCUGAGUUCUUUUUCUCUCUUCAUUUUGGGGAGUGUACUUCUGACUCUGGGCUUUAGUUUACUGCGCUGGUGAAUAGAAAUGGAGACGUUUAGGGCCAGGAUGUCCAGCCUCUCCCUUUGCCAGUCCUACGGAUCUUUUCCUGGCAAUCCUCUUCCCCUUCCCUCGAGUUGGACUGGUACUACGCCUGACUCCUUCCCUCUCCCUGAGCAAGCGCCCCACUGCCCUGCCUUUCCUCCAGCAACCUGCUUACCUCCAAGUGUGGUUGGUUCCCCCAGACACAGGAGUCUGGCGAAGGGCCCUCCUUGGAGAAGAGAGUCCGAGCCCUGAGCUGCUGGCAGCCGGGCUCCCGCCCAGCCCAUCCACUCUGCUCUGCCUUCGUCCCUCCCUGUUUCCACAGCCCGCCCCCAACGAUUUCCUCCCUUCUUAGUCACUCGCUGCCUAGUGAACCAUGGGUUUUAAAUUAUAACUGGGACCCAGGAAACGCAUUCCUAAGUACAAUAUUCAUGGGCUGGGCUGACACUUUUAAUUAAGGUGAUUUACACUGAAUUAUCCUUGGAAAUAAAGAAAUGGUGUGCUGCCCGGGAAUAAACCAUCAUCACCAGCCGCCUUUGUAAGUUACACUUCGUUUUAAUCUAUUUGGGGAAUUGUUUAUCUAGUUCAUUACCCAACCAAACACCGAGGCCGGCCUUAAAUAAGGCUUAAGUGGGGGUGGGGGCACUGCCAUCUCCACACCCCGCCUCCCGUCUAGAGUCACCCAGCCUCCUUCUGGCUCCUUCCAGCCGCUUUAAAGCACUGACCAGAGAUCCUGCUUCCCAGCCUACAGGCCAGAUCUCAAAGUAGGGAAGCCUCCAGGAAAAGGUCUCUGAGCUCAGGCCCCACCAAGCCAAGCCCUCCUUUCAGCUCUGUGCAAUCUUUCUGCAUCCAAGGCUCUUUCCUCUCUCUGGGUGGAAACUCCUGUUUGAAGGCCACAGAGAAGACUGGGGGCCACUCCCCGACCUACCCUUCAGCCUUCAGCUCCCAUCUAUUUUCCUGCCUGUCUGUCUGUACACAUCGUCUCCACCCCAUCACCAUCCUAGAGAAAGCAUAGCGUGCCCAGAGCUCUGUCCGCUGUCCCCUCCUUCCUUCAGAUAUCUGCUUCUCUGCCAUCAUCACUCUUCCCGUGACCCAAGUCAGAAAGCUCUUCCUAGUAAGUACCCCACAAGUAAUCAGCUAAGUUCUCUUGCUUCUCCCCCCCACCAGUCUCUCAUUAUUCCUUCUCUGUUCCCACUGCCACUGCCAUUGUCCUAGAUCAGCUUCACGACAUGUCCCCUGGACCCUGCCUAACCUCCUCACUUGCUUCCCUGCUUCUACCCCCAAAUCAUGUCCCACACUGGCCUCCAGAGUGAUUCUCCUAUAGCUCAGCUCUCUGAUAGGCUUCUCCAGCUCACUGAUGUUCUAAUUCCCCCAUUACCUCCAAGACCACCCUCCAGCAUCGAAGGCUCUCCACUAUCUGUCCUCAGUCUAACUUUGCCCUUCUCAUUCUAGGUAGCCGAGUCCUGGGGCCUACUGGAGUUCCUAUGCAGGACUGAGAGGGGGAAUGGUAGAAGAUGGGGUGAGGGAGGGUGUGUGGGCACAGCCUCUGAUCUCUAAUGGAAAAGUGCUUUGA